rnacentral:rRNA from 1 species
UACGGGGGGGGCAAGAGUUGUUCGGAAUUACUGGGCGUAAAGGGUUCGUAGGUGGCCAACUAAGUCAGACGUGAAAUCCCUCAGCUCAACUGGGGAACUGCGUCUGAUACUGGUCGGCUUGAGUGCAGGAGAGGAACGCGGAAUUCCAGGUGUAGCGGUGAAAUGCGUAGAUAUCUGGAGGAACACCGGUGGCGAAGGCGGCGUUCUGGACUGCAACUGACACUGAGGAACGAAAGCCAGGGGAGCAAACGGG